CUCGUAUCGGGAUAGCGGCGAACGGCUGAGUAACACGUAGGAACCUGCCCCUCAGUGGAGGAUAGCCUCGGGAAACCGGGGGUAAUCCCCCAUAGUCCCCCUCCGAAUCGGAGGGGGUAAAGGGCUUAACUGCCCGCUGAGGGAGGGGCCUGCGGCCUAUCAGGUAGUUGGUAGGGUAAUGGCCUACCAAGCCUAUGACGGGUAGCCGGUCUGGGAGGACGAUCGGCCAGAGGGGCACUGAGACACGGGCCCCAGCCCUACGGGGCGCAGCAAUCAGGAAUCGUGGGCAAUGGGCGAAAGCCUGACCCCGCGACGCCGCGUGCGGGAAGACGCUCUUUACGGAGUGUAAACCGCUGUGGUAGGGGAUGAAACCCCGAUAUUCAUCGGGAUUGACAGUACCCUACUAGAAAGGGGCCGCUAACUGCGUGCCAGAAGCGUCGGUGAUACGUGGGCCCCGAGCG
rnacentral:rRNA from 1 species